rnacentral:tRNA from 1 species
GCCCUGGUGGCAGAAUGGUUAAACAGUUGGCUGCUAACCAAAAAAUCGGUGGUUUGAAUCCACCCAGUGGCU